GGUUGCUACCUAAAGGUCCAAGG
rnacentral:siRNA from 1 species